rnacentral:rRNA from 14 species
GCUAACGUCCGUCGUGAAGAGGGAAACAACCCAGACCGCCAGCUAAGGUCCCUAAAAUUGGCUAAGUGGGAAACGAAGUGGGAAGGCUAAAACAGUCAGGAUGUUGGCUUAGAAGCAGCCAUCAUUUAAAGAAAGCGUAAUAGCUCACUGAUCGAGUCGUCCUGCGCGGAAGAUGUAACGGGGCUCAAACUGGUCACCGAAGCUGCGGCUGCAUAC